AUUGGGUGGGAUUGGUUUUCUAUAUUGUCUAAAGAGAGUAUAUAUAUUAAUAGAGAAUUAUGGUUUGUUAAUCCUUCUAAUUUCAUUGGAUUGUAACUUGUGUCCCUUUGUAUUGGGUUGCACCCCUUGUGCGUAUUAAUACAAGUGCUUAUCAAAAAAAAAAAAACACUCUAAUAAGUCUCUCUCUUUCUCACCAUAAUUUAAAGAAAAAACUAAUAUAUUCUCUCUCAUUUUUUACUGAAAUGAAAGAGCUCAUAAAACCAGCAUGUUAUUGGGUUUUUCACUAACUCCUUUGAUUGAUUCAAUGAGUGCUUUCACGUCCCACACACUUCCCUUCCUUCUCUUCUUCACAACUGUUCAUAACCAUCAUCAUCUUUAUAAGAUCUAACACACACUUCUUCUUCAUCAUCUUUAUAAGAUCUAACACACACUUCUUCUUCAUCAUCCUCAUCAAACAAAACUCACACGACCAAUCUUCCUUUUUUCGACCACCUUAUUCGAACCAAUAAGCUUGCACCGCCUUGCUCCACCACAGCCACGCACGAUUUCUGGCGACAAACAAUAACAACAACAAACAUUGUCCAACUUGCAACGCAUAUCAAUAAUCAGAACUUCACAAUUCUGAUUCAUUGCCUCUCACCACUGUCACGUCAUUGAACCACCGCACAUGAACCGUUCACCAUCGACGCAAACCACCACCAUACUUAAAUUCGUCAAAACACACUAUGAUCUUCCUACAUCGCCCUUUCCCCGCGAAACCUACAUCAAUCGUCGCUCAACACACCAUGUUGCUGCUGUAAGAUUCGUGUCCACGCCGGAAGUUUUGCUUUGUACCCCUUUUUAUAUUUUCAAUUUUGUUUUGAGUUGUGUUUGUUUGGAAUCAUAGAGUUUAGAUUUGAUUUUUGUUUGCAGUGUGUAAAAGUGAAACUUGGAAUUUCAAACAAACAAACAAACGAGAAGAUAGUUUUUAUUGUGAUUUCUUUUUUAAGUUUUGUUACCUAAAAGAGUGAGAGUUAUCGAGAAAGAAGAUGACGACCCUUGGGGUUUAUUUUGACUUUUUUGCUUUUCCUCCCCAAACCACGUGUCGACACCGGAAUGGGGUUUAAAUAUUUUGAAAAAAAUUCAUCUUCCUCUCUCUCUCUCUCUGAUUUCC
rnacentral:lncRNA from 1 species